GAAAAUGACUGAGCGGCGAACGGGUGAGUAACGCGUGAGCAAUCUACCUUAGUUACAGGGAUAGCCCGAGGAAACUCGGAUUAAUACCUGAUAUUCUUUAUUUCUCGCAUGAGAAUAAAAGGAAAGGUCAGCCGAACUAAGAUGAGCUCGCGUUCUAUCAGCUAGUUGGUGAGGUAAAAGCUCACCAAGGCUACGACGGAUAGCUGGUCUGAGAGGACGAUCAGCCACACUGGGACUGAGACACGGCCCAGACUCCUACGGGAGGCUGCAGCAGGGAAUAUUGCGCAAUGAGCGAAAGCUUGACGCAGCGACACCGCGUGUGGGAUGACGGAUCUAGGUUUGUAAACCACUUUCAGGAGGGAAGAGAAUGACGGUACCUCCACAAGAAGCCCCGGCCAACUACGUGCCAGCAGCCGCGGUAAUACGUAGGGGGCGAGCGUUGUCCGGAUUUAUUGGGCGUAAAGAGCUCGUAUGCGGUUCAACAAGUCGGUCGUGAAAGUUCAGGACUCAACCCUGAAAUGUCGAUCGAUACUGUUGUGACUAGGAUACGGUAGAGGUGAGUGGAAUUCCGAGUGUAGCGGUGAAAUGCGUAGAUAUUCGGAGGAACACCAAUAGCGAAGGCGCUCACUGGGGCGCUAUCGAAGCUGAGGAAGCGAAGCUAGGGGAGCACACAGGAUUACAUACCCGGGUAGUCCUAGCCUGUAACGAUGGAUACUAGACGUAGGAACUGGAUUGAAGGUUCCUGUGUCGAAGCUAAGCCUAGAGUAUCCCGCUGGGGAAUACGGUCGCGAGAAUAAAUCAACGGAAU
rnacentral:rRNA from 1 species